CACAGCCUGCUCCUGUUGCACACACCGAGGAGAUAUUUUUAAAUUACCUCUGGAAUAUUUUGGUUGGCACUGUGAGUGAAAGGAGCUCCCAGGUUCACAUCCUUUCCUCUAAUACGGUGGCAGAGGAGGACUCUCUCGUUUUGGUGUGGAAGCAGACAGGAUCAGCAUGCUGGAUUUUAUGGAGCAUUUCUGGAGUUUAGGGACAACUGUCUGGGAAUUUCCAGGUCAGGUAACUUGCUCACUCUUGUGGAAAGCCUGAGGAGCUCCAAGAGGGAUUUAAAGAAGAGAUCUUCCUCUCCUGUUCAGAGCCUGGGCUGAAGCAUGGAAUCAGCACAUAUCCCAUUAGAAGAAAAAUACAGUUACAGGGACAAGAAAUAGCAUGUCCAGCAUGCAGGUGGUAAAACACUGACUGCCAUGAACUUUAUCAGGAAAAAAAAUAAAGAGAAAAAGCUGUGGUUUGGAAGCAGCUGGAUGGCAAACUGCAGGCUGGGAUGUGGCUGCCAAAACCACCACAAGGAGACUGGGGCAUAGAGGCAUUUCUGGAGCAUUCUGUUUGCUAAUUGCUCAUGGAAUUUCAGGUUGAAAAAGAAGAAGGGAAUCUCUCAGGUGGCUGCAUCUUGGAAAACAGGCCUUGCUUUCCUGUCCCAUUUUGCAGCAGUCCUGUGUGAGGGAGAAGUACAACUGUGGGACGCCUGAUGAAAAGAGCUGGUUGAACAACUGGCCUUCAGCUCUGUCACCUUCCUUCAGUGCUUGCAAAAAAAGACCAAAAAACCCCAAAAAAUCCCCACAAAACAAAAAAGACAAAAAAAUCCAAGCCAAAGAUAGUUUAUGUGCAGCUCAGGAAGCUCUCAGCAAUGAGUGUGUCUGUGAUUUAGUAACACAUCUACCCAAAAUGACACUUCUAAUACACACUGAGAAAAAGAAGGCAGAGCAGCACACAAGGCACUGCUAUUGCAGUCAAACUACCAGGUAUUUAUUUUUCAAUGUACAUAAUUAUUGGGGGAGAAUAGAAGUUAUUCUCUGACACUCUGACAGAGCUGUAGAAAGCCUUGUGCUUCCCCUACUCCCAUGGUCCUGACAAGAAACACCUCACAAAUUCUAAUAAAUAGAGAAUAGAAAUAAACACUUUAACUACACAGCACCAGGUUUCAAAUGGCUUCCUGAAUCAGAAAGUGCUGCUAGUCCAUCUUCCUUAUUUCCACACUCUGUAAUGGUGCCUCUCCACAAGUCAAAGUGAGAUGGAUACUGCAAGGAUCGCAGACACUACACUGGGAAACCAAGUAUCAGUGGGUACAUCCAGAUUUAUGGUAGGUGAUGGCAGUAAAGUGAAAGUAAAACUGUUUGCACAGUCUGUGUUGUUGGCCAUUACUGUGUAUUUGCCCUUUUUUCUUGCUUAGCUGUGGCUGGAAGAAUGGAAAAUUGUACCUUCUAUACAGUAUUAGGAGACACUUUCUGAUCGUAAGGUCAAUCAGACUGGUUUAGCUGCUUGAGGUAUUUAUGGCACAAUCACUCAGUGUCUUUAAGGAAAGGUUAGAUACAUUUAUGGGAAAGGUAUUUUGCAGAAGCUUUCCUGCUUCAUAGAGGUCUUGGACAAAAUGACCCAGGAGGCCCCUUCCAAGUCUAUCAAAUGUGGUUCCCUGAUUGAUGCUGUUUCCCCCCAAAGUCUUUUGAAAACACAAAGCACUGUUAUAAAAUUUAAUAUGAUACACUAUAUAACUUUAACACAAUGCCAUUUUCUUAUAGGAAAUGGUUAGCUGGUAGCACAGGAGCCUCGUGCAGGAGGAAGAAAAGUAGAAAAAAAGAAAUUGCAGUGCAGUUUCUCUGCCGAGGGAUAUCGACUGUAACAUUUACUCUGCGUCUGAGCACGGACCCUCAGCUGUGCAGGGGGACACCAAGCCAGGGAAGGAUAGAAGGAACCCAGGUUAUGGAAUUUAUUUCUCCAGAAAAGCCUGACAAGGCCUGAGGUGUUGAGCUCAGCAGCUGGAAUCUGCCAGGGAAUGAUGGUCAAGAUAAGGAUGGAGAAAAACUUUCCUGUAGCCUCCAGGUGUUGGUCCAGGGUCAGGAUUAGGGAACAGGCAAAGCCAGAGCUUUCUGUGUUACACAAGGCCACGGCUCUUUGGUGGAAGGACCACGGGUUUGGGCCAGCCCUGCCUCUGCUCUGCUCAGCUCAGCUCAGCUCAGCUCAGCUCAGCUCAGCCCAUUACCUGCUCUGAUGAUACAGCCCCUCUUGGGCUUUCUGCUUUUGAAAGAUUUACACUCGGUUUAAAUCUCAAUUGAAAGCUCCACUUUAGAUUUUCAGAGGCCGAGACACUUAAAAAUCUCUGAUGGAAGGACAAGUGAGGAAGGCAGAAUAUCUCUCCCUUGCAAAGGCAUUCAAAUACCUCUUGGAUGAGGAGGUUCCAGCUGCUUUGCUGGACAAACAGACACAUCACAGUUCUAAAGUGCAGGGGUGCCCUUCACACCAACAGGCAGAGAAAAGAGGCAGUGGGAAGCGUAAGAGGCACCAGAAUAAAAGAGGCAGGAUCCAACUGAAAUCUUACCUUCUUUAAUCUUUGCAAAUGGGAAAACCCAUUCGGGAUAAGGAAUUUCCAGACUGGGCUGUAUGCACCAUUAAUUGUUCCAUGAAGCAGAGCUGGUCUGCUAUUGUUGCAUCCUCCAAAAACAGCUGUUACUAUGAGCUCCUUGGGGCUCAGGAACUCCAUUUCCCAGUUUUCACUUAGUAUUUCAGUAAUCAUAUAUAAAUAAUAGUAAUGAUAAUCAUAACAAUAUGUGGCUUGCCAUUAUGUUGUACUCAGCCUUUGUGAUGCCUCUCUCACGAUAAAAUCUGUGUAUUAAACACUUUAAUUGAAACUCUUAAUAAAACAGAGAUAUUUUUACUUGUGCUGUUAUAUCCACAUAAUGAUCACAAAGCACUUUACAGAAUCAAAUGAAAGUAGCCAGUCUGAUCCUUCUGUAGAGGAUUUUGUGCAUCUCAGCAGUGCAUAACAAAGCUGCUGUACAGACAAUUGUCAAACAUACCAUGUUUUGGGGUUUGUCCUGGCUGAGCAGCAUCCAAAAGCUUGGGGUUUGUCCUUCAGAUGGGUGUGAAAGUCUCUAAAGCCACCACAAAUAACACGACAAGAUGGACUAGAUGGCCUCACUGACUAGAACAGGCUGUCAUGUGCCAUUGUUAAGGUCCCUGGGUCAGAAGGAAAAAAGAAAAAAGGUUAUAGUUUUCUGGCUUAGGAAAAAAGCCAUGGAAGUCUUGGAGCUGAGUACUGAGCAGCCUCCAUGGGGUCACUGCAAGGGGACAAGGCAGAUCCUGGCCCUGCAAAUGCUCGUGGUAAAUGGUGCCUCCCAAGGUCCGGGAGGGUCUCCAGCCUAGGGCCUUGCAGCAGGUACUUCUGGAGCUGGGAGACAGUGAAGGGCUUUGUUCCCUCCUGUAUAAUUGAUAAAUUACCAUUGUUAGCACUAAACAAUACAAGUGAGCACAGAAUGGAAACACGCUAAUGCCUUACCCAGCUCCAGCAAUUCUGCUCGUGUGCUCACACUGUUCUUAAAUGUGCUAGGUAUUUGUUUGAUGAAACAAUAAGUUUUAGAAAAGAGAAAAAUAAGAACUUUAAAGAUAAUAAAAACCUUGACUACAUACUUUACCACAGGAAGCUGUGAAUAAGCUUCAGUACUCUUUAUUUUUAACAUUCCAGAUAUGUAAUUUAAUGCAGGUCUAAUGACAGUCUCGAACAUACUGCUUUAAUCGAAAUUGUUCAAGCUCUGUUCUGUGACAAGGGCUCACAAGAUACCAGCAGGGUUGUCCAUUUUCCCCACUUCUGUAGGGAAAAGAAAAGGGAGGGGAGGGGGACACUCUUGAACUUAUGUUGCUAUUGAUGUGUAAUAUACAAUAAAAAAACAGUUAAAUUUCAAUUACCCACAGGUAAUUAUAAUUUUAUUGUUUGACUGUACUAUGGGGAUUUUUGUAAUUCCCAAGACUAAUAAUUUUCUAUAAUUUUACAGGUUGUCAAAUAAACUAUUAAAGAUUAUCUUUGAAAAGGAUUCUGCAAUUGUAAGGACAUAUCAUACUGUUCCUGUACAUUAUUAGUAAUUAGAGAUCCCUGGAUAGUGAAAUAUCCACACUAUAUGCUAACUGCUGGAUACCAUAUUUUCUCACAGCCUCCUGUAAUCUUGAACCAAAGCUUUCAAACUUCUCAGCCAUUGUAGCCUGAGUCACGUCCAAACUUUUAUUAAUAUUCACCGAGCACUCAUUAAGCAAUUCUGGUGUGUUCGAUACGUUAAACCUGUGCUUCCUGACGGGGAAAAGCAAAGGCUCCCAGCUCCAUCCCAGAGCAGUGGAAACAAACACAAAAGGGCUCAUUCUGAACUCUGUCCCCUGAAGAGGAUAUGGGGAACAAGCAGCGUUUAUACCAGCACAGAAGAUGUGUAUCUGCCCUGACAGUGCCCUUUGACAAUGGUGUGGCUUGCACAGCAAGAUGGAGUUGUGCUUCCUGAUUUCAGCCUAAAAAUAUGCAUAGAUACAGAUGUGCUGGGGAUCAGCAUCACAUGUCCACAACGAGGGGAAUGGCAUGGGCAGGGUCUCCAGCCCACAAGAAGCAAAUGAACUGGGGUAUUCCCUCAUCCUCAUCAGCAAGUCCCCCAAAUUUCCUGGGGUGUUGGUGAGGAACUCUCCAGGCCAGUAGAGACCAACAUCAGCACAGCUGAGCAGGCAGCGGCGACUUCUCGCAGGUAAUGUGGGAGAAGCCAGAGGCCACCAAAGCAGCAUGUGCUGGGUGACAGCAUCCCUUACUUGUACAGGGCCUGGUGAGAUCCUGAGGAAGAGAGGAGGAGGGAUGAGCCGAGAGGAAGAGCAGCCCCCGAAGCGUUGCGGGAGCAGCUGGCGCAGCCUGCGAGGGCAGCGAGCUGGGGUUCAGCAGCUGAGAGAUGGCUGAGCUCUCGCCUGCAGAGCCAUCAAAGGCACCAUUCUUAGCUGGCAGCAUUGUUUAUUGCAGCUGCCCCAGGAGAUCAUCAUUAUUUGUUUUAUCGGCCUCUUGCAUGGCUGUGUGGCGAGGGCUCUGUGCAGGGGGAAUCUUCCCUGCAUUGAGAGCAGUCUCAGGACAUGGGGACUUCCAGGCCUCCACCCCUAUAGCUGGGGUUUGCACAGCCCCAGCCCUUGGGGACACCAAGCAGGAGCCGUGUCUCAGGGCUCUGGACAGCUCUGCAGGGAGGGGCUUGUCCUGCUCCUGGUGCCAGGAAGCCUCAGUGGCAGCUGCAGCGCUCAGCAAGGGGCCUGGUGAGGGAUUUCACUCACACCAGGGAGCGGAGCGCGGAUUGUGUUGGUUUUACGGCGGCGUGGAGCUGCUGGAGCAGUAUAAAGAUACGGGAGCACAGGGAAGGAUUAAGGCCAAUGGGCUGCAGCUCCCUGCCUUCCUCCAGAGACAACUUGGAGCCAUCAAAGGCACUAAAUCUGAGGAGUCACUGGAUACACACACUGAGCUCUCUCUGCCAAGGCCUGCUGGCCUUGAUGUCCCGAGCUCCUCCUGCACCUAUGGGAGGGAUGGGAAGGACAGCUGAUAACCUGGACAGCUCUUCAGUCAGUGGCAUUCCCUGCUCCUGACCGGCUCUCUGCCCACUAACCCAGCUCAAUGAGACUGAACCCAUUACUCCAGAUGAUUGGCACUUAAAAUAAACAGAGGGAAAAUCCAGAGCCCUCAGAGAAGGCUCAAUAUGCUUCUGGGUAACAGACAGCACCAUAUACAAACACAGAGCCCUCCUUCUUCUUCUUAAUUCUGGUCUGUGCUUUUCAUGCUUAACACAUUCCUUGUUGCAAGGAGAACACGUUCUGACAAUUGAAUAGUGAAAGCAAUUAGAAACAGAAUUAAUUGAUAAAAUUAAAGCCCUGCUUUCCUUAUGUUUGUCAUAUGACUACAAAUAUUGUCACUCCCAUUAAUAUUAAUUAAUAUAAUUAUCAAUGUUUCUAAUCCCUACACAUUUUGUUGAAAAGUUACUCUUAGCUCAAGAAUAUAAUUGUAAAGUCGUGGAAAUGUUAAGUAGCAGCUAAGCAAGUCCAAAGAAUUAAUAGCAAACUGUAGUUUAUCCAGGGAUUAGACUUUUAGCAAUACAUAAUCACCUCUUCAUGUGUUCAUCCACAUAAAAUACCUUCCAUCCCUCACUACACUUCUGCCUACUUGUCCUUGCAGUGCUGAGUUUUCAAGAAUUAAAAAAAAGACAGUAAGUAAAUAUUCUGUGCAGUUACAUGCUGUUCUUCAAGGUAAGUCACUGCACCAAGAGUUCUGUGCCCACAGCUGAGAGCAAUGUCAAGGUCAAUUAUCUCAGGCUGAAAGCCCUAAUGCAGGAUACUUCUGUGAUCAGAGUCAUCUGUGUAACUGCAAAGCCUUUGUUUUGGAGCAAAGAAUUCCUCUCUCCCGGCUUCCCCAGGCAUUGUCUCUCAGUUGGAAUGUCCCAGAUUACUGGAAUAAUCCAAAGGAGUGCCCUGCCAUGCUGCUGCCAGCUUCUCCUGGCAGGUCCCAGCAGUGCUCUGAGGGCACAGGAAUUGGAGCUGAGCCUUCCCUGCUGCCUGCCCAGCUCCUCCAGGGACACCCAGCAAUUCCUGCCUGGCAAAGCAGGCAGCAGUGCUAGGUGCAGCAUUCAUCAGCUCUUUUGGAAAACAGCCAAAGUGCUUUAAAGGCCUUUGUUGUAGGGUAGAGGGGUUUUUCUGCUAGAAGAGAAUAAUGUAAUCAUUUUGCUAUUAAUUUUUAAUUGUAUGUUGCUCUGCAUUCUUACCAAUCUAUACUGAUUUUCCUGAAAGGAAAGGGGAUGCUGUGCAAGUGGUUUUUGGUAGGAAUGUUGUUGGGCCAGGCUGGAAAAGAAUUGACAGAAAGAAGCUGCUCUUCAAAGUUACUGCAGUCACCUGCUGCUGUCUAUUCCUACAAGGUAUCACAUUAAAUACUUAUAAAUUGUAUGAGCUUAAGAAGAUUCAUGGAGAGCUGCCACAGUUUUCCCUGCUGUCAGGUGUUUUUCUUUGCUUGUUUUUGUGGGGGUUUGUUACUCUCUCUUUUUUUUUAAUGACCACUUUUUGUAAGGAAAAGUUACUUCUGAGAAAUCUUUUGCAAGCAAAUAAAACCCACUGAUGUGGAUGAAAUCAGCAGCAAGAGUAAGAAAUACAUUAAUUCUUCUCAGAAGACAAUCUUUAUCAAAAAUGCUAAGAUGCAGCCCACUGAUACAGUUAAACUUUCUGGUAGAAACAUGAUUGUAUCACUCACUUAUGCCCACUCACAAAUCCUUCAUUUCAUCUAAGAGAAAACUGGCCAUGAGGGGACAGGAAAUCUUUAAUCUGCUUUUCUCCAUUUCUUCAAAUAUCUGGUUCUUAUCAACCCGCAUCGAACAUGAGCAACAGGAAAACCUCAUGUCCUCCAUAAAACAAAUGCAAACAAAGCACAGACAGUCUCCAGUGUGAGACGGAUUGAGCACAACAAAGUAUUG